rnacentral:rRNA from 1 species
UGGGUGACCUGCCUUCCAGUGAGGAAUACCGGCGAGAAAUCGCCGACAAUGCCGCAUAGGCUCUCGGGCUCACACCCAAGAGCAAAGCUCCGCAAGGAGCGCUGGAAGAGGGGCCCGUGGCCGAUUAGCUGGUUGGUGGGGUAAAGGCCUACCAAGGCGACGAUCGGUUGCUGGUCUGAGAGGACGAUCAGCCACACUGGGAUUGAGAACGGCCCAG